CCUACGUGAGUCAGCAGUGAGGAAUAUUGGUCAAUGGGCGCGAGCCUGAACCAGCCAAGUAGCGUGAAGGAUGACUGCCCUACGGGUUGUAAACUUCUUUUAUAAAGGAAUAAAGUGAGGCACGUGUGCCUUUUUGUAUGUACUUUAUGAAUAAGGAUCGGCUAACUCCGUGCCAGCAGCCGCGGUAAUACGGAGGAUCCGAGCGUUAUCCGGAUUUAUUGGGUUUAAGGGGAGCGUAGAUGGGUUGUUAAGUCAGUUGUGAAAGUUUGCGGCUCAACCGUAAAAUUGCAAUUGAUACUGGCAGUCUUGAGUACAGUUGAGGUAGGCGGAAUGCGUGGUGUAGCGGUGAAAUGCUUAGAGAUCACGAAGAACUCCGAUUGCGAAGGCAGCUUACUAAACUGCCACUGACAUUGAUGCUCGAAAGUGUGGGUAUCAAACAGGAUUAGAUACCCGUGUAGUC
rnacentral:rRNA from 1 species